AGCGUACACGGUGGAUGCCCUGGCAGUCAGAGGCGAUGAAGGACGUGCUAAUCUGCGAUAAGCGUCGGUAAGGUGAUAUGAACCGUUAUAACCGGCGAUUUCCGAAUGGGGAAACCCAGUGUGAUUCGUCACACUAUCAUUAACUGAAUCCAUAGGUUAAUGAGGCGAACCGGGGGAACUGAAACAUCUAAGUACCCCGAGGAAAAGAAAUCAACCGAGAUUCCCCCAGUAGCGGCGAGCGAACGGGGAGCAGCCCAGAGCCUGAAUCAGUGUGUGUGUUAGUGGAAGCGUCUGGAAAGGCGUGCGAUACAGGGUGACAGCCCCGUACACAAAAAUGCACAUAUUGUGAGCUCGAUGAGUAGGGCGGGACACGUGGUAUCCUGUCUGAAUAUGGGGGGACCAUCCUCCAAGGCUAAAUACUCCUGACUGACCGAUAGUGAACCAGUACCGUGAGGGAAAGGCGAAAAGAACCCCGGCGAGGGGAGUGAAAAAGAACCUGAAACCGUGUACGUACAAGCAGUGGGAGCACAGAGCAAUCUGUGUGACUGCGUACCUUUUGUAUAAUGGGUCAGCGACUUAUAUUCUGUAGCAAGGUUAACCGAAUAGGGGAGCCGAAGGGAAACCGAGUCUUAACUGGGCGUUAAGUUGCAGGGUAUAGACCCGAAACCCGGUGAUCUAGCCAUGGGCAGGUUGAAGGUUGGGUAACACUAACUGGAGGACCGAACCGACUAAUGUUGAAAAAUUAGCGGAUGACUUGUGGCUGGGGGUGAAAGGCCAAUCAAACCGGGAGAUAGCUGGUUCUCCCCGAAAGCUAUUUAGGUAGCGCCUCGUGAAUUCAUCUCCGGGGGUAGAGCACUGUUUCGGCAAGGGGGUCAUCCCGACUUACCAACCCGAUGCAAACUGCGAAUACCGGAGAAUGUUAUCACGGGAGACACACGGCGGGUGCUAACGUCCGUCGUGAAGAGGGAAACAACCCAGACCGCCAGCUAAGGUCCCAAAGUCAUGGUUAAGUGGGAAACGAUGUGGGAAGGCCCAGACAGCCAGGAUGUUGGCUUAGAAGCAGCCAUCAUUUAAAGAAAGCGUAAUAGCUCACUGGUCGAGUCGGCCUGCGCGGAAGAUGUAACGGGGCUAAACCAUGCACCGAAGCUGCGGCAGCGACGCUUAUGCGUUGUUGGGUAGGGGAGCGUUCUGUAAGCCUGUGAAGGUGUGCUGUGAGGCAUGCUGGAGGUAUCAGAAGUGCGAAUGCUGACAUAAGUAACGAUAAAGCGGGUGAAAAGCCCGCUCGCCGGAAGACCAAGGGUUCCUGUCCAACGUUAAUCGGGGCAGGGUGAGUCGACCCCUAAGGCGAGGCCGAAAGGCGUAGUCGAUGGGAAACAGGUUAAUAUUCCUGUACUUGGUGUUACUGCGAAGGGGGGACGGAGAAGGCUAUGUUGGCCGGGCGACGGUUGUCCCGGUUUAAGCGUGUAGGCUGGUUUUCCAGGCAAAUCCGGAAAAUCAAGGCUGAGGCGUGAUGACGAGGCACUACGGUGCUGAAGCAACAAAUGCCCUGCUUCCAGGAAAAGCCUCUAAGCAUCAGGUAACAUCAAAUCGUACCCCAAACCGACACAGGUGGUCAGGUAGAGAAUACCAAGGCGCUUGAGAGAACUCGGGUGAAGGAACUAGGCAAAAUGGUGCCGUAACUUCGGGAGAAGGCACGCUGAUAUGUAGGUGAAGUCCCUCGCGGAUGGAGCUGAAAUCAGUCGAAGAUACCAGCUGGCUGCAACUGUUUAUUAAAAACACAGCACUGUGCAAACACGAAAGUGGACGUAUACGGUGUGACGCCUGCCCGGUGCCGGAAGGUUAAUUGAUGGGGUUAGCGCAAGCGAAGCUCUUGAUCGAAGCCCCGGUAAACGGCGGCCGUAACUAUAACGGUCCUAAGGUAGCGAAAUUCCUUGUCGGGUAAGUUCCGACCUGCACGAAUGGCGUAAUGAUGGCCAGGCUGUCUCCACCCGAGACUCAGUGAAAUUGAACUCGCUGUGAAGAUGCAGUGUACCCGCGGCAAGACGGAAAGACCCCGUGAACCUUUACUAUAGCUUGACACUGAACAUUGAGCCUUGAUGUGUAGGAUAGGUGGGAGGCUUUGAAGUGUGGACGCCAGUCUGCAUGGAGCCGACCUUGAAAUACCACCCUUUAAUGUUUGAUGUUCUAACGUUGACCCGUAAUCCGGGUUGCGGACAGUGUCUGGUGGGUAGUUUGACUGGGGCGGUCUCCUCCUAAAGAGUAACGGAGGAGCACGAAGGUUGGCUAAUCCUGGUCGGACAUCAGGAGGUUAGUGCAAUGGCAUAAGCCAGCUUGACUGCGAGCGUGACGGCGCGAGCAGGUGCGAAAGCAGGUCAUAGUGAUCCGGUGGUUCUGAAUGGAAGGGCCAUCGCUCAACGGAUAAAAGGUACUCCGGGGAUAACAGGCUGAUACCGCCCAAGAGUUCAUAUCGACGGCGGUGUUUGGCACCUCGAUGUCGGCUCAUCACAUCCUGGGGCUGAAGUAGGUCCCAAGGGUAUGGCUGUUCGCCAUUUAAAGUGGUACGCGAGCUGGGUUUAGAACGUCGUGAGACAGUUCGGUCCCUAUCUGCCGUGGGCGCUGGAGAACUGAGGGGGGCUGCUCCUAGUACGAGAGGACCGGAGUGGACGCAUCACUGGUGUUCGGGUUGUCAUGCCAAUGGCACUGCCCGGUAGCUAAAUGCGGAAGAGAUAAGUGCUGAAAGCAUCUAAGCACGAAACUUGCCCCGAGAUGAGUUCU
rnacentral:rRNA from 1 species